rnacentral:RNase_MRP_RNA from 1 species
GAUCUGGGCGAGAAGUUGUUUCGUAGUGUACAAGCGGUUUAACCAACAGGCUAUGGGGAAAGUCUCUGUGCAACUAUCGCCGAAAGGGCGCUCGGGGAAUCCGUUGAGAUAUCGAGGUUCAAUCUGUGCGUAGUACUUUUGAACCUCCCUGUCACACAUGCCGUCGCCAAACUCAGUCAAUACAACUAAUCCACAUCCACAAAAUAGAGCUUAUCCACGUUCCAGAU